GCCCACUUAGCUCAGUGGUUAGAGCCUCACUCUUGAAUGUUGAGGAUGCAGGUUCAAUUCCUACAGUGCACA
rnacentral:tRNA from 1 species